rnacentral:tRNA from 1 species
GGGACCAUAGCUCACCUGAGAGAGCACCUGCCUUACAAGCAGGGGGUCACAGGUUCGAGCCCGUGUGGUCCCACCA